GAAAUGGAUGCCUUUACACCUGAACAACAAUGUUGAAAUGUGUAUGUCCUAUUCAGAAUGGUUGCAUCAAAUAAAUGCUGAUUCGGUCUCCACUGACUAUAAAGGAAGACAAAGGUGUCCAUCCAGCCUUCUCUUGAACCUUAUCAAAUCUUUGCAACCACAGUGUCCUUUGGCAAGGAGUUCUGUAGCUUUAUUUUACACUGAAUGAAGAACUAGCUGGCUUUCUUUGCUCUGAACUUACACCCAUUUGGAAGACUUGAGGAUGUAUCCUAUCCCUUCUGAUGUCCGUACCUGGUUCUCAGAAGAGAGGAAGAACUACAUCUCCCAGAAGACUUUCGCUGUGUGGUUUCUGUUUUCUGUUCAGAGAGAAAGAUAAAACUGCCCGGGACUGAUGAGGCUGUCCUUCUUUUGCUGCUUGUCUCUGCAGUGUGUGCUCC
rnacentral:lncRNA from 1 species